rnacentral:rRNA from 1 species
CAGUCGCCGCGGUAAUACAGAGGGUGCGAGCGUUAAUCGGAUUUACUGGGCGUAAAGCGUUCGUAGGCGGCUUCUUAAGUCGGAUGUGAAAUCCCUGAGCUUAACUUAGGAAUUGCAUUCGAUACUGGGAAGCUAGAGUAUGGGAGAGGAUGGUAGAAUUCCAGGUGUAGCGGUGAAAUGCGUAGAGAUCUGGAGGAAUACCGAUGGCGAAGGCAGCCAUCUGGCCUAAUACUGACGCUGAGGUACGAAAGCAUGGGGAGCAAACAGGAUUAGAUACCCCCGUAGUCCCUGUCUCUUAUAC